AAGACUUUAUGUUAAAUAAACAAAUAGCCUUCAAAGCUGUAAAUAAAAGAAAUCUUUUAAGUCUUA
rnacentral:tRNA from 1 species